GUUCUCCCUCGUUGCAAGAAGAUAAACCUAAAUUUGUUUGAUUACAGAAAUGAUGAGGCCUCACGAACAAUAAAGUACAUUGCUGUAUGACUUGAGGAGUCACUCCUGGCAUCUGGGCUGGUCCAAAGAACUCAUGGGAAGACAACAGAAGAAGAGAGGAUGAUUCCCAACUCAUUUUAUAAGGUCA